rnacentral:rRNA from 1 species
AGCAGUAGCCACGGUAAUACGAAGGGGGCUAGCGUUGCUCGGAAUCACUGGGCGUAAAGGGCUCGCAGGCGGUUUCUUAAGUCUGAUGUGAGAGCCCCCGGCUCAACCGGGGAGGGUCAUUGGAAACUGGGAAACUUGAGUGCAGAAGAGGAGAGUGGAAUUCCACGUGUAGCGGUGAAAUGCGUAGAGAUGUGGAGGAACACCAGUGGCGAAGGCGACUCUCUGGUCUGUAACUGACGCUGAGGAGCGAAAGCGUGGGGAGCGAACAGGAUUAGAUACCCGCGUAGUCCCUGUCUCUUAUAC